rnacentral:rRNA from 1 species
UACAGAGGUGGCAAGCGUUGUUCGGAAUUACUGGGCGUAAAGGGCGCGUAGGCGGCCAUCUAAGUCAGACGUGAAAUCCCCCGGCUUAACCUGGGAACUGCGUCUGAUACUGGAAGGCUUGAGUAUGGGAGAGGGAUGUAGAAUUCCAGGUGUAGCGGUGAAAUGCGUAGAUAUCUGGAGGAACACCGGUGGCGAAGGCAGCCCCCUGGGUCAAGACUGACGCUCAUGCACGAAAGCGUGGGGAGCAAACAGG